AGGAAGAGCCCAAUGGCCACCUCUCUCAGUGCCACCACCCCAAGGCUCACCUUUGCUUCCCCAACCUUCCAAACCCUUUACUCAAGGCUCUCUAUCCCACUCUCACUCCCUCUUCCUCUCUCUUCUUCGCACUUUCUCUCUGAUCCCAAAAUCCUGUCUUCUCUCUCUCGCCACCACCGCGGUCUACUCUCUCACUGCCACCGCCACCGCCACUGCCGCGGUUUCACCACUCGCGCGGAGUCAGAGAACGGUUCGGAGCCGGCUCGCCACUACGACUUCGACCUCUUUACCAUCGGCGCUGGCAGCGGCGGCGUUCGCGCCUCCCGCUUCGCCGCCAAUUUCGGGGCCUCCGUCGCCGUCUGUGAGCUCCCCUUCUCCACCAUUUCCUCCGACACCACCGGUGGUUUCGGCGGCACGUGUGUACUUCGCGGAUGUGUACCAAAGAAACUACUAGUGUACGCAUCAAACUAUUCUCAUGAAUUUGAAGAGAGUCAUGGUUUUGGAUGGAAAUAUGAUGCAGAACCCAAGCAUGACUGGAGCACCUUGAUGGCUAAUAAGAAUGCUGAGUUGCAGCGUCUUACUGGUAUCUACAAGAACAUUCUGAAAAAUGCUGGUGUUAUGUUAGUUGAAGGUCGUGGAAAGAUUGUGGACCCGCACACAGUUGAUGUAGAUGGGAAGCUAUAUUCAGCAAGACACAUACUAGUUUCAGUAGGUGGUCGUCCCUUCAUUCCUGAAAUUCCAGGAAGUGAAUAUGCAAUAGAUUCAGAUGCUGCCCUUGAUUUGCCCUCAAAGCCUGAGAAAAUAGCAAUUGUUGGUGGUGGGUACAUUGCCGUGGAGUUUGCUGGCAUCUUUAAUGGCUUGACAUCUGAUGUCCACGUAUUUAUAAGGCAGAAAAAAGUUUUAAGGGGUUUUGAUGAAGAGAUCAGAGAUUUUGUUGCAGAACAAAUGUCUCUAAGAGGAAUCGAGAUCCACACAGAGGAAUCACCCCAAGCUAUCAUUAAAUCUGCUGAUGGUUCAUUGUCUUUGAAGACCAGCAAAGGAACAGUUGAAGGUUUUUCACAUGUUAUGUUUGCGACAGGACGUAGGCCUAAUACAAAGAACUUAGGAUUGGAGACAGUAGGGGUGAAAAUGACCAAGAAUGGAGCAAUAGAGGUCGAUGAAUACUCCCGUACAUCUGUUCCUUCCAUUUGGGCAGUUGGAGAUGUUACAGAUAGAUUGAAUCUGACUCCAGUUGCUUUGAUGGAAGGAGGGGCAUUGGCAAAAACUCUGUUUCAGAAUGAGCCAACAAAACCUGAUUACAGAGCUGUCCCUUCUGCUGUGUUUUCUCAGCCACCAAUUGGACAAGUUGGUCUUACUGAAGAACAGGCUAUACAAGAAUAUGGUGACGUUGAUAUCUUCACAGCAAAUUUUAAGCCCUUAAAGGCUACUAUCUCAGGGCUUCCAGACAGGGUCUUGAUGAAACUUCUUGUCUGCGCAAAAACAAACAAGGUUCUGGGGUUGCACAUGUGUGGACAAGAUGCACCAGAAAUUGUCCAGGGAUUUGCAGUUGCUGUGAAAGCUGGCUUGACCAAGGCAGACUUCGAUGCCACAGUGGGUGUUCACCCUACAGCAGCUGAGGAAUUUGUCACAAUGAGGACUCCUACUAGGAAGAUUCGAAAGACAUCUGAGGAAAAGAUAGACUCAGGCGUCAAAGCUCCAGCAGGUGUUUAGCAAUGGUCUCUAUAUCAAUCUGACUGCACAGUGUAGCUGCUUUUUUAAAGGGGUUGUCAUCUGGGAGAUUGCAGGUAAAAUGCUAUUUGUGGAAUAGUUUGGAGAACUUAGAAGCUGACUCAUCAUAGUGACUGCUUCUCAGGGAAGCAUCAACAGUUUUUUGAGUUUCAUGUCGGGAACAUGGAAGAAAUUAAGCAAAAGAGAAAGGUCUUAAACAGUAAUGGUUCUAUUACGCGGUCCUAUAUAUUUCUUGCACCUGCUUGGUGGUGGUGAGUGGGACCGCAAAUAUCGGAUUGUGGAUACCUCCAACAAGUUUCUUUUUCUUUUUCUUUUUCUUUCUUUGUACUUUUCUGGUUGUCACCCACCUCUUUUUGUACAUUAUCAGUAGAAAACUUGUUAGUUGAAGAAUAAACUUUUGUAAGUUAUGAUUUUACAUGUUCAUCAAAGAUGUUUUGUUGGAAGAUU